rnacentral:rRNA from 1 species
CCACGCAACGAGCGCAACCCUCGUUUUUAGUUGCCAGCAUUAAGAUGGGCACUCUAGAGAGACUGCCGGUGACAAACCGGAGGAAGGUGGGGAUGACGUCAAGUCAGCAUGCCCCUUACGUCUUGGGCUACACACGUACUACAAUGCUACGGACAAAGGGCAGCUACACAGCGAUGUGAUGCAAAUCCAAGAAACCGUAGCUCAGUUCAGAUCGAAGGCUGCAACUCGCCUUCGUGAAGGAGGAAUCGCUAGUAAUUGCAGGUCAGCAUACUGCAGUGAAUUCGUUCCCGGGCCUUGUACACACCGCCCGUCACACCAUGGAAAGCUGGUCACGCCCGAAGUCAUUACCUCAACCUUUCGAGGAGGGGGAUGCCUAAGGUAGGACUGGUGACUGGGGGUGAAGUCGUA